UACGGAGGAUGCGAGCGUUAUCCGGAUUUAUUGGGUUUAAAGGGUGCGUAGGCGGUAUGGUAAGUCAGCGGUAAAAGCCCGGGGCUCAACCCCGGCGAGCCGUUGAAACUGCCGUGCUAGAGAGGAAGAGAAGUAGGCGGAAUGCGCAGUGUAGCGGUGAAAUGCUUAGAUAUAUGGAAGAACACCAGUGGCGAAGGCGGCUCUCUGGUCUGCAACUGACGCUGAGGCUCGAAAGCAUGGGUAGCGAACAGG
rnacentral:rRNA from 1 species